AUACGGAGGGUGCAAGCGUUAUCCGGAAUUAUUGGGUUUAAAGGGUCCGUAGGCGGCUAGAUAAGUCAGUGGUGAAAUUCUCUCGCUCAACGAGAGACCUGCCAUUGAUACUGUCUUGGCUUGAGUUACAGUGAGGUGAGUGGAAUGUGUGGUGUAGCGGUGAAAUGCAUAGAUAUCACACAGAACACCGAUUGCGAAGGCAGCUCACUAACUGUAUACUGACGCUGAUGGACGAAAGCGUGGGGAGCAAACAGGAUUAGAAACCCUAGUAGUCC
rnacentral:rRNA from 1 species